GACGAACGCUGGCGGCGUGCUUAACACAUGCAAGUCGAACGGAAAGGCCCUUCGGGGUACUCGAGUGGCGAACGGGUGAGUAACACGUGGGUGAUCUGCCCUGCACUUUGGGAUAAGCCUGGGAAACUGGGUCUAAUACCGAAUAGGACCACGCGCUUCAUGGUGUGUGGUGGAAAGCUUUUGCGGAGUGGGAUGGGCCCGCGGCCUAUCAGCUUGUUGGUGGGGUAAUGGCCUACCAAGGCGACGACGGGUAGCCGGCCUGAGAGGGUGACCGGCCACAGUGGGACAGGGAUACGGCCCAGAGGCAUACGGGAGGAAGGAGUGGGGAAUAUUGCACAAUGGGCGCAGGCAGGAAGCAGGGACGCCGGGUGGGGAAUGACGGCCUUCGGGUAGUAAACCACUUGCACCAGGGACGGCGCGUAAGUGACGGUACCUGGAGAAGAAGCACGGGCAAACUACGU
rnacentral:rRNA from 1 species